GUGAAUCAUCGAAUUUUUGAACGCAAAUUGCACUCUCUGGUAUUCCGGAGAGUAUGCCUGUUUGAGGGUCAGUUUAAAUAAAAAUCGGUGUGGUUGCUGCCUUUCGUGGUGCCGUACCGGAUUUUCUUCGUCUUUCCUUCGGUUAUGUGUCCUAAAAUUUUGCAUGCUUUUCUCGCCCGUCUUUACAUGACUUUACGUCCUUUUCCGUUCUCGAAUACUAGCUUUUUUCUUCCUCUUGCUUCGCUCCUUUUCUUUUUCUUCCAAAUUACCUCC
rnacentral:misc_RNA from 1 species